UUAGCUAAAGACAAAAUCUGACUCCACUCCAUUUUUGUUUACAUUUCAUGAAGAAUGAAGUUGAGCUUGGUGUCUUCAGAGGUUUUCAUGUCGUUUUCUUCAGUGGUUCUUGGUGCAGCGCCCCCGCAGGUGAGGAGGAGAACAGGUAUUUAAAUUAGUUUAGUUUAGGCUGA